ACAGAGGCGACACAACACGGAGAGUGGCAGUUAUCAGUUAUAAGCUACAAUGUACACAUGAAGUAAAAGCGUAGUGCAAGGAACCACCCUGACGUUCUUUCGCCCAUGCAGGGCAGAAUCAGUGCCAGGGCUGGUUAGCCGGACACGCGACGCCGCGCCCAGCGCUUACUCCAAGACAUCGCAGCAGCAGUGCGAUUGGGAAGUUCUAGCUUCACCCGGGCCUUCGGCUAUGGCCUGGUCUGUGUCAGCUUUUUAUGGCUGUCUCAUUUUGUUCUCUGACACUCUGUGCUUACUGUGGCGGUGGGAUUGCCAGCAGGCGUUCCUGCUGCCAUAGUGUAAGCGAAUUGCAAAGCCUCUUUACCAGCAUGGCGGCUGUUGUAGGCAGUCCCUGUCUCAGAAAUUGUGUGUGCUCACAAUUCUCUAAGUAAUGUACAAGUGUGGCAUUCGACUCGCCGCAAACUUGUGUGUUUCCUUUACUGUGUUGUACUCUUCCUUAAUAAAGAGUAAAUCCCUUUAACCACAAUCACUGUCCAACCAAUCAUAGCCUCUCCAUCCUUUCUCUUUCUCUCUCUCUCUCUCUCUCUCUCUCUCUCUCUCUCUCUCUCUCUCUCUCUCUCUCUCUCUCUCUCUCUCUCUCUCUCUCUCUCUCUCUCUCUCUUUCUUUUUUCUCUCCCCCCCUCUCUCUCAUGUUCGAAGGCUUUAUUGAUUUACUGAACUUUUCUGUUAAGUCUAACAUUUUAAUUACUUUCAGUGGUUGUAAAUAUGUUGCAAGGAAAGUGGCUUGCAACUAUGGAGAAGUUAACACACGAAUUGUGCCAAUUGUUGUUGGAGUCCUUCUAGGCAUGAUUAAUAUUUCUUUGUGGUUCUGGGCAAGAAAACCAUUGUGAAUCCAGUCCUCUAUCCAAACGGCUGAAGGCACUGGAUUCCUUGCUAGUAAAAGAGUUGGCACACCUAUCUGAGACAGCUGCACUUUAAAGACCCUGGCAGCACCAUACUCUCCUAUAAAUCCAGCCUCCGAUGAUCCCCCAUCAUAUGAAGAAGUAAUUUCCACUGUAUAAACAUAGAUGAGUUGGCUUCUUUGAGUAAAUCCAAACAAAUGGGAUAUUGUCAUUCAUAGUUCCAUCACUCAAUAACCCCGUUAGUUUAGAAUUAACUUGUUUAUCAAUAAUACUUGCAAUGCUGAUUAUCAGCAUACUACUUACAUUAUACAGUUAAUGGUUUAAUGAACUUUACAUUCACAUCAAAAAAAGUAUUUUGUUUGUAUAGUUCCUUCACAGAAGAAAAAUAUUAAACAAUUACUGGGUAUGAGCAAUAAAAAAUAAACCAGGCAUUUUUCUUUUCAUAACAUACUGUAAUAAGUAGAAUGUCUAUAAUCUGUACCAAUUCAGCUUUCACCUUGUUUGGAUAUCAUUAUAUUGUGCCUACUAAUAAGAUAUUUUUUUUCAUUUCAUUGUCUACAGUUGCCAUUGUAAUUUCCAAAUACAGAAUGUUGGAUUAAAUAUGUACACAUGGGUAAUGGUAAGCUUAACACCUUUGAUUAUUCUGAAUUUGCGUACUCAGUAUGGAGAAUUAUUCCAAUUUUAAUCCUUAUAUGUAAAAUCUGUAAUAUCCAGCUAAGAAAAAAGAAAGAAAAAAAAAUCCCAUUCUAUAGAAAUAACGGUUUUCCAGAUAUUUUCUACAUUCCUUUUGUCAUCAAUCAAGAGGAUUUUAGAAAACAAUUAACAUUACAUU